rnacentral:rRNA from 1 species
GACGUAGGUGGCGAACGUUAUCCGGAAUUAUUGGGCGUAAAGCGCGCGUAGGCGGCCACUUAAGUCGGAUGUGAAAGCCCCUGGCUCAACUGGGGAAGUGCACCCGAAACUGAAUGGCUUGAGUGCGAAAGAGGGUCGCGGAAUUCCCGGUGUAGAGGUGAAAUGCGUAGAUAUCGGGAGGAACACCAGUGGCGAAGGCGAUCUUCUGGUCUGUUUCUGACACUCAGACGCGACAGCUAGGGUAGUAAACGGGG